AAUAGAUACCCGGGUAGUCCACGCCGUAAACGAUGAGUGCUAAGUGUUGGAGGGUUUCCGCCCUUCAGUGCUGCAGCUAACGCAUUAAGCACUCCGCCUGGGGAGUACGGUCGCAAGACUGAAACUCAAAGGAAUUGACGGGGGCCCGCACAAGCGGUGGAGCAUGUGGUUUAAUUCGAAGCAACGCGAAGAACCUUACCAGGUCUUGACAUCUCCUGACCGCCCUGGAGACAGGGUCUUCCCUUCGGGGACAGGAUGACAGGUGGUGCAUGGUUGUCGUCAGCUCGUGUCGUGAGAUGUUGGGUUAAGUCCCGCAACGAGCGCAACCCUUGGUUCUAGUUGCCAGCAUUCAGUUGGGCACUCUAGAGCGACUGCCGGCGACAAGUCAGAGGAAGGUGGGGAUGACGUCAAAUCAUCAUGCCCCUUAUGACCUGGGCUACACACGUGCUACAAUGGAUGGUACAAAGGGCAGCGAAGCGGCGACGCAUAAGCGAAUCCCAGAAAACCAUUCUCAGUUCGGAUUG
rnacentral:rRNA from 1 species